UACGGGGGGGGCAAGCGUUGUUCGGAAUUACUGGGCGUAAAGGGCUCGUAGGUGGCCAACUAAGUCAGACGUGAAAUCCCUCGGCUUAACCGGGGAACUGCAUCUGAUACUGGAUGGCUUGAGUUCGGGAGAGGGAUGCGGAAUUCCAGGUGUAGCGGUGAAAUGCGUAGAUAUCUGGAGGAACACCGAUGGCGAAGGCAAUCCCCUGGACCUGUACUGACGCUCAUGCACGAAAGCGUGGGGAGCAAACAGG
rnacentral:rRNA from 1 species